rnacentral:rRNA from 1 species
AUUGAACGCUGGCGGCAGGCCUAACACAUGCAAGUCGAGCGCGAAAGUUCUUCGGAAUGAGUAAAGCGGCGGACGGGUGAGUAAUACAUGGGAAUCUGCCUGGUAGUGGGGGACAACGUUUCGAAAGGAACGCUAAUACCGCAUACGCCCUACGGGGAAAGGGGGGAGUCUUCGGACCUCUCGCUAUCAGAUGAGUCCAU